rnacentral:rRNA from 1 species
GACGAACGCUGGCGGCGUGCCUAAUACAUGCAAGUAGAACGCUGAAGGAGGAGCUUGCUUCUCUGGAUGAGUUGCGAACGGGUGAGUAACGCGUAGGUAACCUGCCUGGUAGCGGGGGAUAACUAUUGGAAACGAUAGCUAAUACCGCAUAAGAGUAGAUGUUGCAUGACAUUUGCUUAAAAGGUGCAAUUGCAUCACUACCAGAUGGACCUGCGUUGUAUUAGCUAGUUGGUGGGGUAACGGCUUACCAAGGCGACGAUACAUAGCCGACCUGAGAGGGUGAUCGGCCACACUGGGACGGAGACACGGCCCAGACUACUACGAGAGGCAGCAGUAGGGAAUCUUCAGCAAUGGACGGAAGUCUGACCGAGCAACGCCGCGUGAGUGAAGAAGGUUGUCGGAUCGUAAAGCUCUGUUGUAAGAGAAGAACGAGUGUGAGAGUGGAAAGUUCACACUGUGACGGUAUCUUACCAGAAAGGGACGGCUAACUACGUG